UACGUAGGGUGCAAGCGUUGUCCGGAAUUAUUGGGCGUAAAGAGCUCGUAGGCGGUUAGUCGCGUCUGCUGUGAAAACUCGGGGCUUAACUCCGGGCCUGCAGUGGGUACGGGCUGACUAGAGUGCGGUAGGGGAGACUGGAAUUCCUGGUGUAGCGGUGAAAUGCGCAGAUAUCAGGAGGAACACCGGUGGCGAAGGCGGGUCUCUGGGCCGUAACUGACGCUGAGGCACGAAGGUCAGGGGAGCAAACGGG
rnacentral:rRNA from 1 species